rnacentral:lncRNA from 1 species
UUCGUCGGUUCGAAUAUGUUCGACUUCCCGCGAAGCUAAACAUCCCCACCCUAAUAAGAAUGUUAGACGAAACCACAGUGCGGGCAUUCGAUUGUCGACAAUCGUGGCAUCAAGAUGUAUCGAUCGACACUUGAGAUCAUUAACUGUGUAAUACAUUUCCAAUGCUAUUCUUCUACGUUUAUAUGCUACUAUUAGAUUAUUGGUUAAUAGAGAGAUCGACAUGAAAAAAACAGGAAAUCAAAAUGUAGAGGCUGUGAUAAUUAACGUUUAAUUUGGCGGAAGCAGUCUUCUCGUGUUCAUAUUGCUCUCCGAAUUACUGGUUUUUUACAACCCCCACCUUUUCCCGUUCUUUGGAGAGGAUCUAAUCUGUAAUUAAAUGAGUGCUUCAAAAGCCAAGAAUAUUUCUCACAAUCUCUACUUUCACCAUGAGGGACGACGGUUUUUACUUGAUAACCGCUUUUCAGAUGACUUCUCGCACAUCACACCAUCGAUAACAACGAUCUU